AACGAACGCUGGCGGCGCGCCUAAUACAUGCAAGUCGAGCGAGAAGGUGUAGCAAUACACUUGUAAAGCGGCGAACGGGGUGAGGAAUACAUGGGUAAUCUACCAUCGAGUGGGGAAUAACCAGCCGAAAGGUCGGCUAAUACCGCGUACGCCUCCGGAUCUUCGGGUUCGGAGGGAAAGCCACACUGUGAGUGCGGCGCUCUUUGAUGAGCUCAUGUCCUAUCAGCUUGUUGGUAGGGUAACGGCCUACCAAGGCUUUGACGGGUAGCUGGUCUGAGAGGACGAUCAGCCACACUGGCACUGCGACACGGGGCCAGACUCCUACGGGAGGCAGCAGUAAGGAAUAUUGCGCAAUGGGCGAAAGCCUGACGCAGCGACGCCGCGUGGGGGAUGAAGGUCUUCGGAUUGUAAACCCCUUUCGGGAGGGAAGAUGGAGCGAGCAAUCGUUCGGACGGUACCUCCAGAAGCAGCCACGGCCAACUCGUGCCAGCAGCCG
rnacentral:rRNA from 1 species